rnacentral:rRNA from 1 species
UGGGGGAUAUUGCACAAUGGGCGAAAGCCUGAUGCAGCGACGCCGCGUGGGGGAUGAAGGCCUUCGGGUUGUAAACUUCUUUUGCUCUGAACAAGGCAUGCCUUUGGGGUGUGUUGAGUGUAGGGGUUGAUUAGCGCCGGCUAACUACGUGCCAGCAGCCGCGGUAAGACGUAGGGCGCGAGCGUUGUCCGGAAUUAUUGGGCGUAAAGGGCUUGUAGGUGGCUGGUUGCGUCUGUCGUGAAAGCUCAUGGCUUAACUGUGGGUUUGCGGUGGGUACGGGCUGGCUUGAGUGCAGUAGGGGAGGCUGGAAUUCCUGGUGUAGCGGUGGAAUGCGCAGAUAUCAGGAGGAAUACCGGUGGCGAAGGCGGGUCUCUGGGCUGUUACUGACGCUGAGGAGCGAAAGCGUGGGGAGCGAACAGG